rnacentral:rRNA from 1 species
UGCAUCGAUGAAGAACGCAGCGAAAUGCGAUACGUAGUGUGAAUUGCAGAAUUCCGCGAAUCAUCGAGUCUUUGAACGCAAGUUGCGCCCGAGGCUUGUCCGAGGGCAUUUCCGCUAGAGCGUCACCGCGCCCCCCACCGAUCCGCUCCCGCCGCGAGGCGCCAGUCGGUUCGAGUGGAAGUGGCCGUCCCGGUCGCGGCCUUCGCGAGAAGGCCUUGAGCGAGUGAGGGUCGGCUGAAAUGGAUGGAAUUGGGCCGCCGUGGUGACACAGUCCGCGAUCGGGUGAUUUUUCGCGAGCCUCCUCCGGGAGGGUCGCCGUGAAUUUUCUAAGUGCGUGGCUGCGUCCCCCAGUUGGUUUCGGUUACCUCGUGCAGGUCGUGCGCGCCCCCGCGGCGCGCGUCACGCAUCAGACCUCUAAUCGGAAAAGACUACCCGCUGAGUUUAAGCAUAUCAAUAAGCGGA